AGCUUCACUAGCGUAUAUUAAAGUUGUUGUAGUUAAAAAGCUCGUAGUUGGAUUUUGGGAGUGAUGACGUUGGGUCUGCCGAGAUGGUGUGUACCCUCGUUGCGCUUCUUUCUUUCGCACUUUAUGUGGUCCGUGGGCGCUUCAUUGGGCUCGCGGGUGCCGCGUGCGAUCGUUUACUUUGAAUAAAUUGAAGUGCUCAGAGCAGGCGAGUUUUCGGCCGUUGAACAAUUGAACAUGGGAUAAUGAAAUAGGACCCUCAUCUUAUUUUGUUGGUUUUAGAGAUGAAGGUAAUGAUUAACAGGGACAGUCGGGGAUAUUAGUAUUUGCUAGUCAGAGGUGAAAUUCAUGGACCUAGUGAAGACUAACUAGUGCGAAGGCAUUUAUCAAGGAUGUUUUCAUU
rnacentral:rRNA from 1 species